rnacentral:rRNA from 1 species
UGAGGAACCCGAAAGAUCGAAUGGGAAGAUUCAGCGUCAACGGCGUUAACUCGGCGGAUCGUGCGUCGUCUCGGACUUCGGUCUUGGGACUCGUAAUCUUUCCAUGCCUUGUUUGGCGUCGUCGUCGUGCACUUCUUCCCUAGUAGAACGUCGCGACCCGUUGGGUGUCGGUCUACGGUCCGAGCGGUAGACUGUCGCGUCGCUUCGGCGCACGCGGCAGACCCUUGGGCACCUGGCCGGCUGCCCGGCGGUCGAACUUAUAAGGUAUCUUGCCGCAAUUUUUGAACUGCGUCGGGCCCGUCGCAAGCGAGGCCAGUGUCUUACGGAGUUACGGACCUAGUGCCGUACCCGUGGCUGGCCAGCUGUUGGCAGGCGGAGUCCUUUGACGGGCAAUACACAAUGUGAUACCGGUCUGCGACGCUACUGCUUUGGGUACUCUCAGGACCCGUCUUGAAACACGGACCAAGGAGUCUAACAUGUGCGCGAGUCAUUGGGACUGCAAAACCUAAAGGCGCAAUGAAAGUGAAGGUCGUACUAAGGUCGACCGAGGGAGGAUGGGCCGCGUUUAUGCGCGGCUCCGCACUCCCGGGGCGUCUCGUUCUCAUUGCGAGAAGAGGCGCACCCAGAGCGUACACGUUGGGACCCGAAAGAUGGUGAACUAUGCCUGGUCAGGACGAAGUCAGGGGAAACCCUGAUGGAGGUCCGUAGCGAUUCUGACGUGCAAAUCGAUCGUCGGAACUGGGUAUAGG